GGUGCUUCAGUGGGAAUCUGAGCUGCUUUUGCAAAGUCUCUUGUCCAGCAUGGCAUGAAAGUGGUCGGCUGCAGCAGAAACAUCGAACAAAUAGAGAAAUUAUAAGCAGAAUGUGUCAGAAGUGGAUUCAGUGGAACUCUGAUUCCAUACAAAUGCGAUCUGUCGGUAGAGGAGGAGAUACUAUCCAUGUUUGCCUCAAUCAAAGUUCAACAGCAGGGCAUUGACGUGUGCAUCAAUAACGCUGGCUUGGCUGUUCCAGAGCCUAUAUUAAGUGGUAAAACCAGUGGCUAGAGGACUAUGAUGGAUGGAAGAUCCAGAAAGAGAGGAGAGACAUGGUAGCGAUAUACACUUUAAGCAUGGAUGGAGAGAUAGAGAGUCCAGUUCACUGUUCGUCUUGGCAACCAGAAGACAACGGUUGUAGAAGCCUGUUUAUGCAUCUCACAUCGGUACUUGCUCUAUUGCAUCUUUGGCGAGGAGACACUGUACCUCUGAGCUUAAAAAUCAGCAAAUCCUGCCCUGUACAAAGGAGGACAGCACUCCAUUGAAACAAGGUCGCUUCGUAAAAUGAAGCACAUAGCCGCUCAACUGUGCUCAGAACCCAGCUGGAAACCACCACCAUUGGCCACAGGGGUUCUUCCGUGACUGUCAACGCCAGCACACAGCACACCCGCCACCCUCAAGGGGUAAUCGCAUUGAAAAGCUUGGUAAUCAUGUCGCAGUGCCUACAAGCAGACGACAUUGCCAACGCAGUGUUGCAUGUCCUAAGCGCUCCUCACGUCCAGUAGAUUGGUGACAUUCAGAUGAGGCCUGUGGAACAGUUGACAUAACCUUGAUGAUAAAGCACCAACAACAUCUUGAUCAUCUUAAAACUAAUAGCCAGUUUAGCAUAUAAUAUCCAGAGUUGUCAAAGAUGACACAUAAUUCAUUAUAUAAUUAAUAAAAUAUAAAAAAUAUGCUUUGUCAUUGCAACAAUUGUCAAGCCUUAAUCUUUUAAAAUGGCAUUUGUAUUGAAAUUAAAAUGGAUUAUAAUCAGACUACUGCCCUAUUUUAGUUAACUUUCCAUUUUUGUAAUGAAAGUAAAAUGCAAAAUUAUAAUUGUAUUGCAAAAUAUAGUAUUGGUGUAAUUUAUUUCGCUUGACAUUAAAAGUGAACAAAGUACGAGUGAUGAGGAAAUGUGAGGCUUCUUCUUCAAAGCAAAUUUUACAUUAGCUCUGAAUUUACAUGUCACUUUCAACAAACCUUUUCUGAACAAUUAUUUUUUUUUUUUUUUUUUGCGAGGUAUUUAAUUCUGAACUCAGAAAAAAAAAAAAAGAAUCUUACAUUUUUAUUUAACUUAUAUUUGAUUACCUUACAAACAUUGGAUAUUGAAUUGGACAAGAUAUUGAGAACAUAUGCUUUUCCAGAUGUUUGUCUUAAGAACAAAAGUCUUUCAUACUGUAAGUAUUGUCCCAUAAGUGUAAAAAGGUCAAAUACACAUAAAUGAAUAACUAUUCAUGUGUUUCAGGGUGGAAUGUAAAGAUUCUGGACAAUCCUCAAGAUAGAACACUUUUUACAAUGCAUAUUGUCUCGUCAUGGCUAGAAUAAUCAGGUACUCUCAUGUAUCAUAGUCGCAGAAUAGAAAGUGCAUUGCUAUUAGUAGUGCAUUAUUUUAAAGUAAUCAUAUUACAGUUGCUGAAAUUCAAUUAAGUUAAUUGCUUUUAAAUAUAUUACUUGGGUUACAUGUAUUUCCAAAAUAAUAUUAUUUAUGUAGAAUACUUUUAAACAUGAUCUACGUUUCUGUGACAGCUGAAGCUAGUAACGAGUCAUUGUAAGGGAGAAACACAUGGUGCUGUGUAUGACUUGCAUGUGACAAUGAAUAAGGAGGAAAU